rnacentral:rRNA from 1 species
UACGUAGGGGGCAAGCGUUGUCCGGAAUUAUUGGGCGUAAAGAGCGCGUAGGCGGUCCGAUAAGUCGGCUGUGAAAGUCAAGGGCUCAACCCUUGAAAGCCGGCCGAUACUGUCGGACUAGAGUCCGGAAGAGGCAAGUGGAAUUCCCGGUGUAGCGGUGAAAUGCGUAGAUAUCGGAAGGAACAUCAGUGGCGAAAGCGACUUCCUGGACCAAUACUGACGCUCAUGUGCGAAAGCGUGGGGAGCAAACAGGG